rnacentral:lncRNA from 1 species
CGUCCAAGGAGCCAGUGCCGUCCAUCUGGGCGCCCCAGGCGGGGAAGGGCGCAAGGGCGUGAGAAAGGCUCUUUUGUAUUCAGAGCAAUCGUCGCCAGAGCCGCAGCCUCGUACAGCAAGCCUCGCACAACCAGCUUCCUUCCCCGCGAGGGGCCGCGGAGAAGCAAGUUGGCGGGAGGGGGCGGCUGGCGGCGUUGCGGGGGCGAGAUCUGGGGGCGGAGCGAAUCGCGGCCUUUCUCUUCCCUGCAGAGCGGCCUCGCGUCCCACAAGCCCCGCCCACAUCCCGCCCCGCCCACAUCUCAGCCCCAGCCCCGCCCCACCGCGGUCUUCCUCUCGGAGUUCCUCGGGCUGAGUUCCGCCUCUCUCUCGCCUCUCCUCCUCUCCAGGGCGCCAAACUGCUUUAAAACUGCUGCCUUGGAGCCACUCAGAAACCUCCAGGAUUUUUGCCUUGGCCAGCUUCAUGGAGAAGCUCUUGAGCAGAGGGAGGUAAAGGCCUCUGUUGAAUGUCGACUUAAAGAAUGCUUAUGCUGCUGCUAAGUCGCUUCAGUCGUGUCCGACUUUGUGCGACCCCAUAGACAGCAGCCCACCAGGCUCCUCUGUCCCUUGGAUUCUCCAGGCAAGAAUACUGGAGUGGGUUGCCAUUUCCUUCUCCAGAUUUAAAGAAUAUUCACAAUUUAAAAAUUGAGUGUUAUAUUUUAUUUGGUGGGCAAUGUAAAGACUUCAAGCCCAGGAGACAGCAUGUCAAGUGACACAGUGAGAAUUGCUCAGAAGAGGCGAGGGAAGGAGCCAGGUUAUACGAAGUUUUAUAGCAAAGGGCAGUAGUCUAACUAUCAAAUGAUUAUUGUUAAUUAAAGAAAACCAGAUAUCCCAAGUUAAGGAAUUUAGUGCUUUUCUAUGAUGGGAAGAUGCAUGAAUCUGUUGUUACUGUUCAGUUGCAAAGUCAUGUCCAACUCUGAGACCCGGUAGACUGCAGCACGCCAGGCUAACCUUUCACUAUCUCCCAGAGUUUGUUCACAUUCAUGUCCAUUGAGUUGAUGAUGCCAUCCAACCAUCUCAUCCUCUGACACUCCUUCUCCUCUUGCCCUCAAUCUUUCGCAGCAUCAGGGUCAUCUCCAGUGAGUCAGCUCUUCACAUCAGGUGGCCAAAGAAUUGGAGCUUCAGCUUUAGGAUCAGUCCCUCCAAAGAAUAUUCAGUGUUGAUUUCCUUUAGGAUUGAUUAGUUUGAUCUCCUUGCUGUCCAAGAGACUCUCGGUUCUUUUCCAGUGUGCGUGAGUGUUAAGUCGCUUCAGUCAUGUCUGACUCUCUGCGACCCUUUGGACUGUAGCUCACCAGGCUCCUCUGUCCAUGGGGAUUCUCAGGGCAAAAAUAUUGGAGUGGGUUGCCAUGCCCUCCUUCAGGGGAUCUUCCUGACCCAGGGACCCAACAUGCAUCUCUUCUAUCUCUUGCAUUGACAGGCAGUUUUUACCACUAGCAUCCAGCACCACAAUUCAGAAGCAUCAUUUC